ACGGAGGGUCCGAGCGUUAUCCGGAAUUAUUGGGUUUAAAGGGUCCGUAGGCGGGCUAUUAAGUCAGGGGUGAAAGUUUGCAGCUCAACUGUAAAAUUGCCUUUGAUACUGGUAGUCUUGAGUUGUAUUGAAGUGGCUGGAAUAUGUAGUGUAGCGGUGAAAUGCAUAGAUAUUACAUAGAACACCGAUUGCGAAGGCAGGUCACUAAGUACACACUGACGCUGAUGGACGAAAGCGUGGGGAGCGAACAGG
rnacentral:rRNA from 1 species